rnacentral:lncRNA from 1 species
UAAAGUUCAAUAUGAGACUUUAUUCAGAAUAUGACUUACUGUGACACACAGUUCAAAAAACUAACAGGAAAAUACUAUGAAUUAAUGAAAGAUGAAUACAAUAUGGCUCAAUAUCAAAACCAAGAGUUUUAGAUUUUGCUUGAUAUUAUUUUAUCAACAUACAGCUCAGUAGUAUCAAACAGGUAAUUUAAAGACCCAUGGUAUAAUUAGGGAUUUAACAAUGGAUUUGAAAAACUGAACAUCUACAUUUUAUAUACUUCAGUAAUACCUAAUUCUUCACUGAAAGUUUUAAUAUCUUUAGGAAAAGAUAACCCCA